CCAGCUUGAUGCCGCUCCUUUAAUUCAGGGCAAUCGGAGGGAGGGACCAGAGUUGUGACUCCCAGUCAAGAUGGAGGUUCUGUGAUGCGUGUGAGAGCGCUCCCUGCGGUCCCUCCCAAUGCAGGCCUUGGAAAAGAUUGUUUAUGUGAGUGUGAGAGGCCCUCUUAAGUUGGACAGCAGUAAAGAGAUGAAAAAUGACACCAUCCCCAGCCCUCAGGAAUACAGAUGAAGAUAAAUUGACAACAGAGGAGUCAUGUGUGGCUGUUCCUAAUGAAACCUUACCACACACUUGAAGGUGAUGAGGGUGCUUCUCACAUGGAAAAAUUGGAUUGGAGACCUCCGUGGUAGAUCAUACCUUUUUUAUGAGUUUUCUUGUGGGUACCCCAGCAGCCAUGACUGUCUUUAAAGCCUAUGUUCCUUUAUUAAGUUUAGUGGAUCUCUUGAAUCCUGUUCUUGUGCCGUAGGGCAGGAAAACGCCUCUAUACAAUAGCAGAGUUGUGUAUUCUGGGGGGUUUAUUUAUUUGUGGAAUUUUUAGUUUGUUUCUGUUGUUCUUUUUUAUUUUAUUUCAUGUGCAUUGGUGUGAGUUACAGACAGUUGUUUUAGCUACCAUGUGGGUACUGGGAAUUGAACCUGGGUCCUCUGGAAGACCAGCCAGUGCUCUUAACAGAGCCACAUCUCCAGCCCCUUUUCCUUUGUUUUGUUUUGUUUAUUUUUUUCUGAAAAUAAAACUAUGCAAAAUAGAGAAGAUGCCUUUUCAUGUAGUCCUGCUCUCCUUGUAAAGUAACACUCAGGAAGCUGUGAGCUUUUCCUGGGUUGUAUUGGAAGAUCAUGAGAAAAGCACUUGGCCUCUGUUUUGAACUCAGAAUGCAGCCCUUUGAGUCCCCUUCAGCCAGCCAAAAUUCAUGUCACUGUUGCAGUUUAUUGUAAUAAGAACAAAUGAUGACAUUUCGAAGUACCAAAAUUGUUCUGGGAACAAAGUGGUCCCAAUGGCCUGGGCUUUCAGCCCUAUUUUCUUUAUCCUUAGAGAAAUAGCAUCAGAGUUUGGAAUUCUUUUCCUGAGGUGGAGCAGUUUCUGGUAGUUUUGUGUAGUAAGUGUUAAAGGUAUAAGCAAAGACUCGUGCAGGCUAGCUAAGUCAAGCCAUCAGAAAGGGCAAGUGUUGGCUGUAUAUCUCAAUUACCUCUGCAACUCAAACCGACAAUAGUCACUUCCUUGCAGUAGCUCAGAAGAUGCAGCUUAAUGAAAAUAUGGGUGGAACUCUUAUGGCAAAAGGCUGCCUCCAGGGCUCCAGUGUUCUAAUGUGUUCUCUGAUAGUGAGAAAACACUUUGUCCUUGAGCCAGUAUCUGGAAAACUACGGAAAACCAGAGUCAUGAGAGCAGCAAUUAAGGUUGCAGCUCUGCAGCCCCUCUGCCCUCCUAGGAAGACUGUACCAGGGAAGUACCCUUGCCCAUCUGCUGUUGGAGCCUCUAUCUCCCUCUAUUAGGGGUCUUGAAAGGCUGGACAGAAAGCUUAACCAUAUCUUCUGGUUGUCCCACUAUCUCUUAUAACUUAAACUAGCCAGUUUCCAUUAGUCUAUAAUUUGCCAUAUGGUUUUUUACCUCUUCUAUUCUGGAUGUCCAAAUCCCUCUUUGUCUACCUGGUGUCUCCUGCAUGCAUAGAUUUUUAACCCUCAGUUCCUCUCUACCCCUGGAAGUCCCACUACUCUCUCCUGCCUAGCUAUUGGCCAUUUAGCUCUUUAUUAAACCAAUCAGAAGGCACCUUAGGCACAGAUACAUCUUUGUGGUGUACAAAAAGUUUAUCACAUAACAGCCAACACAAUCCCCCUAAUCACAAGAAUAUUAAAAUACACCCUUCUAACACCACCUCAGAUCUGGGAGGAAAGGAACUUAAACUUUCCACUUUCCCAGUCAUUUUAUCAAAACUCUCGUGUUUCAGGGGUCAGGCUGCUGAGUGGCAACCUUGAAUACACACACUCUUCCAUUUGGUUACCCAUUAGGAAAAAGCCUGCCUUCUGGGCCAGAUUACUACAGCCACCUCCUUUUCUCCCUCAGUCUCCCCUCCUCCCACUUCCUUCUUCUACUCGCACACUUCUCACAGUCCACCCAGCUCCAAAGGAGAAAAAAGUUCUUCUGGGAAUUCCUGAUACUUCUCCACAUACACAUAACACCUAUCUUUAACCAGACCUGGUCAACUGUGCUCAGGCUAACAAAGGAAGACAGUGUGAGACAUUGUUCAUGGAGCUCCCAAAACUCCGAGAGUUGGUGCUAAGUGUUUGUGACCAAGGCACCACGUACAAAAAAGGAUUACUAUGGACUCUUCUUUCCCACUCACAGGACCGAGUCUCUUUGUCAGAUGACCUCCAAAGAUGACCCAUUUCCAAAAAACAGGUCAAGGCAGUUACCCUUUCUAGCAUCUCUCAUCUGGAAGUCCAAUGCCUCUAUUCUGUCUAUCAUCUCCAGAGCCUAGUCACUCCCUCUACUAGCAUGUUCUACGUAAGGUCAAAUCUCGGCUGGCUACUCAACUGUACACAUGCAACUGUCUCCCAGUCCAGCUGUCCCUGUCUUCCAUUGGGGCUAUCGGAAGAAAGGAAAAUGAAGAACAGAACCUUGAGGAUUACUUGGGGGAACUCAAGAGGGACAAGGUUUUGAGGAGGCUCAAACAGACAUCACUUAGCAAAGGAGGAUGAAAACUGGGGCAGAUAAGUGCCUGUCUUGUUUGCUGACACAAGAGUGUUCAGUCUAACACUGGUGACUAUGGUCUAGGCCCUGUUCCAAAUGAUUAUGAUAGACAUUGACGAUUCCCCCAUGGAAGGCCUCACCCUCCCUGGGGAACAG